rnacentral:rRNA from 1 species
AGAGUUUGAUCAUGGCUCAGAUUGAACGCUGGCGGCAUGCUUUACACAUGCAAGUCGAACGGUAACAGGAAGAAAGCUUGCUUUCUUUGCUGACGAGUGGCGAACGGGUGAGUAACACAUCGGAACGUACCGUUAGGUGGGGGAUAACUGCUCGAAAGAGCAGCUAAUACCGCAUAUAACUAAGGUUGAAAGCAGGGGAUCUUCGGACCUUGCGCCAAACGAGCGGCCGAUGGAAGAUUAGCUAGUUGGUGAGGUAAAGGCUCACCAAGGCGACGAUCUUUAGCGGGUCUGAGAGGACGAUCCGCCACACUGGAACUGAGACACGGUCCAGACUCCUACGGGAGGCAGCAGUGGGGAAUUUUGGACAAUGGGGGCAACCCUGAUCCAGCAAUGCCGCGUGAGUGAAGAAGGCCUUCGGGUUGUAAAGCUCUUUUGUUAGGGAAGAAAUCCUUAAGGCUAAUACCCUUGGGGGAUGACGGUACCUAAAGAAUAAGCACCGGCUAACUACGUGCCAGCAGCCGCGGUAAUACGUAGGGUGCAAGCGUUAAUCGGAAUUACUGGGCGUAAAGCGUGCGCAGGCGGUCUGAUAAGACAGUCGUGAAAUCCCCGAGCUUAACUUGGGAACUGCGAUUGUAACUGUCAGACUAGAGUGUGUCAGAGGGAGGUAGAAUUCCACGUGUAGCAGUGAAAUGCGUAGAGAUGUGGAGGAAUACCGGUGGCGAAGGCGGCCUCCUGGGAUAACACUGACGCUCAUGUACGAAAGCGUGGGGAGCAAACAGGAUUAGAUACCCUGGUAGUCCACGCCCUAAACGAUGUCUACUGGUUGUUGGGGAUUCAUUUCCUUAGUAACGAAGCUAACGCGUGAAGUA